CUAUUACAACUUAUAUCAUUGUUGAGCAGAAACAUUGGUCACACUUUACAAUAACAGUACAUUAAUUAACCAUUCAUUAACAGUAGUUGCCUGUGAUCAGCAAUAUCAUAUAGCAUUAGCAUAGGGGUUAGGCUUAACCAUAACCUUAUUCCUUACACCAUUAGUAAAUGAUACCUAGACCAUUAGUAAUGGUAAAUGAACUGUUAGUUAAUGCUGAUUACUGCAUUAACUAAUGCAAAUGAAUGAUUAAUUGAUGUACCCUUAAGGUAACGUGUUAACAGCGCAUUUAUAUAAAGCACUAAGGCAUCCGUCUCAAGGAUGCUGACGGGUACACCGUAGACUUGGGUUCAAACUCUGAACCCGUUUGUCCAAAAGUCGUGCACAAUGCACUCACCAGCUUGCCAUUAUUUUGUGCGUUGUUUGGGUUGGGUCCAAUGUCUAAAUGCACGUGUUCCUCUGGUGUCAGCGCUGGGAGGGUGGAUGGAGGAGGAGGAGGGUGGAGGAGGCAGGGGUGGACGGUGACAGAAGGAGCACGGGGAGAAGGCGGUGAGCCGGCGUGGAGGAGGCGGGCGUCCUCCGCUCCCACACAGAGGCCUCGGCAGGGAGGUGCAGCAGACCCAGAGAGGGGCCGCUCGGCCAGCCGCUCUGCACCUUCAUCUCUCCCCCCAGACCGCCCGGCCUGGACCCCCGCACCGGACCCCCGGCCGCAGCCCGGCCGGUCUGGUUCCUCGGUACCGUCUGACGAGAGUCACUCCGCCCGGCAGCUCGGACACGCUGCACGGCCCGGGGGUGAGGCCCCUGGCGCUCCCCAGGUGUGUGCCAGGUGUGGCCCCUCAGAGCCCGCUGAGCGUGUGGCCCCUCCGACAGUGCACAUGCAGGACCCGCAGCAUGUCUCCAGAGGGCCCCAGCCCGCUGCAGGUGGGUUGGAGGGGGGGGUGGGAGGCCCUGGUCUGACCGCUCCGGCCCCCCCCCUCCUAGGCAGCCUGGGGCCGGUACACUGGUUACCAACGUGUCACCCAGCGCUGCUGUUAUGCUCGUGUGCCCUGACGACGCCGGACUCACGACACCCGUACAUCCACGCACAUAGCCUGGGCCGCGCUACCUCAGAGGUCAGGGGUCACGGGGAAGUGAGAAGGCACGCGAGUCGUCCGCUGAUCGCUAAGCAACGGGACUCUCUGGGCUGCUCUCUGAACAAGGCCCUCCGGGCGGCCCGGGACAUGAAGCUGACCUCCAGGCGCAUGGCGCGCUCUCUGGCCUCAGGGCUGCACUACCAGGAAGCACUGUCUCAGUCCUGCAUCUACUAGCUUCCUGCUAGUGCGCGGGUAGCUUUCUGCUAGGCUAUUUCCAGCUGUCUUCCUGCAUUCAGCAGCUUUCUGCUAACUUUUGACUAGUCUUCCCCAGUUUACUGUUCACUUUCUACCAGCCUUCUGCUAGCCUGCUGCUAGCUUUCUGCUAACCUUUAAAUAGUCUUCCCCAGCUCACUGUUCACUUUCUAGUAGCUUUCUGCUAGCCUGCUGCUAAUUUCUGCUAACCUUUAAAUAGUCUUCCCCAGCUCACUGUUCACUUUCUAGUAGCUUUCUGCUAGCCUGCUAUUAGCUUUCUGCUAACUAUUAACUAUUUUCUUCCCCAGUUUACUGUUCACUUUCUACCAGUCUUCUUCUAGCCUGCUGCUAGCUUUCUACCAGAAUGCUGCUAGCUUUCUACUAGCCACUAGCUUUAAACCAGCAUCUGGCUCAUUUACUGCUUACCUUCUUCUAGUCUCCUGCUAGUUAGCUGCUAGAAUUCUGCUAGCCUGUGACUAGCAAAUGAUAAAAUAGGAACUGCUGCAGUUGUCAAGUCAAAUAAAGCAUUCAUAACUACAAGAACCAUUAUUUAUUUAUUGUUCUGCUGUAAUGUUUAUAAUUGUUUUAUUUGUGAAAUUAGUUAAAUAUCUUACUUGGGAUUAUUCUUUAUUAUUAUUAUUAUUAUUUUACUGCAUUAUUACUGAUUGUAAUGAUUUGGUAAAUGAGACGAUACUGGCUCACUGGAAGUGAGAAGUGAACUUCACUCAUCCCAAAGUUUUCAAACUAUACUUUUAUGAAAGCAUUAAUGGGCUAUGAAACUAUUUUCUUAAAAUAUAUUUUGAAAUCAGAAUUGUUUAAGUAGUUUGACAUAGUUAGUUAAAAAGAUGAUGAUUAAGAAAUGGGUAGGUUACUCAUCACAGAAUGUCUACAAUAUUUAAAUUAAAGCAUAGAAUUUUAAACCUUUAAGUAAAUAAAAUUGAAUAGCUGUUGAUUUAAUGUAACAUUGUUUAUUGUAUUGGUACUUAGUUUAUUUUGAGGUUUUAACAUUGCGUGAAUUUUCUACUUUUGUACCAAGUUUUGAUCGUCUGUAUAUUUUUGCCUUUUCUACAUUUUUAGAAUGAAUGUCCUUGAAGUCCUUGAAUAAAUUGCAAUUAAAAUACAACAAACAGUAUCUUGAUUUAUUCUUUAAUUGAAGGGCCUCUAUUUUACCGCUAGGUGUGGUAUGAGAAGCCAUAUAAAAAAUAGAAUAUAAAGUAGGCCUAAACCCCAUAUUUUCUUAAAC
rnacentral:lncRNA from 1 species